rnacentral:rRNA from 1 species
UCUUUAAUGGAGAGUUUGAUCCUGGCUCAGGACGAACGCUGGCGGCGUGCCUAAUACAUGCAAGUCGAGCGAGGUUAAUUAGAAGCUUGCUUCUAAUU